GAUGAAGAACGUAGCGAAAUGCGAUACUUGGUGUGAAUUGCAGAAUCCCGUGAACCAUCGAGUCUUUGAACGCAAGUUGCGCCCGAAGCCACUAGGCCGAGGGCACGCCUGCCUGGGCGUCACACGCCGUUGCCCCCCCAUCUACUCCUUCGGGAUUGCGGGGGGGCGGAUGAUGGCCUCCCGUGCGCCUAGCCGCGCGGUUGGCAUAAAUACCAAGUCCUCGGCGACGCACGCCACGACAAUCGGUGGUUGCGAAACCUCGGUUGCCCGUCGUGUGCGUUCGUCGCGCAUCGAGGGCUCGAAAAAAUGCUCGGCUCCGGCUGGGCUUUCAACGCGACCCCAGGUCAGGCGGGGUUACCCACUGAAUUUAAGCAUAUCAAUAAGCGGAGGA
rnacentral:misc_RNA from 1 species